rnacentral:pre_miRNA from 1 species
GCUUCCCGCUGGGCGUGCCGGCGAGCAGCCCUCGUACCGGGCGUACUCGGGCUGUUCGCCGGUGCGUCCAGCGGGGAGC